CUUGAUUGAAGGAGCGAAGUCCCUCUGUGGUUCCCUCCUCCCCUAACACUCUGCUAUCACCUUUGUGCUUUUCCAGGCUGCUGCCUGCCCUUGGCUGAUGAGCCCACCUCCCCCAAGAAGGCGAAGAGCAUCCCUGGGUGCUGCGGCUCGGAGAGUUGGUUCUCACCCCCUUCCACCAGGUGUUCUGCCAUAAGGAUCAUCCCUGAGGAGGAGAUGACUGAACAUAACUUUCUUGCCAUCCGAGUCAUGGUCACCAGUGAUGCAAGCAGCUCUGAGCUGGAGUCUGAUUUCAACGGUGACUCAUCGAACUCUGAAGUGAGUGAAGGACAGACCACGCUGCUGGAGCCCCCUGCCUGCUCGAGCCCCAUCCAGAGGUGGGCAUCGCUCAUCAGGAGCCCUGUGGUGCCAGAGGAAGGCUCCAAAACAUCCAAAGUUGCUGAUGGUAAGCAGCAUCCUGACCUGAUGCUCCUGAUGUAUUCUGAGGGCUUCAAGCAGGGUUGGGGGA
ensembl:lncRNA